UCUUUCGGGAAAUGCAGUUUUUAGCCUGGCGGAUAACUGAAAAGGAGUUUGCACAGGUGCAGGUUCAAUCUAAGGACCCGGGUGGGCAGCCAGAGGGUCUCACAACAUGUGUGGAGUGAGGGUGUGUUGUCUGGAGAAGCCUCCGUGAGGAAGCAGGGUCCGAAUCACUAGCACCAGACCAGGAGGUCACUGUCCAGUGGGAGAGAAGGCUCUCCUGGGCUCUUCUCACUUCCUGCCUGCCCCGCCCCCAAAGGCUUCCAGGUUGUGGCAAAGAUGGCAUCUGCUGCCACUCCAAGUGAAUGUGCAUUUCUGAUCAGUCGAAUACCCGGAUAAACAUGAGUGGUUGUGGUCCAGUCCAAAGCAAAUAGACU
ensembl:processed_transcript